UCUGCAUUCCAGGGGCUCGACAGGUACCUCGCUCCGACGCGGCCAAACUUCUGAUUCCUCAUCGGGAAGAAUUCUGUCGAAAAAACGCGAAAAUAGGUCAGAGAAAACUCUGGUUUCACUCCCGGGUUCUGGCUCAGAACCGGCCCAGUUUGGCUCGGUGUGGGUCAUAUGGACCUUUGAUGCCUGAACGCUUCAGUGAGUCUUUUAGCCACAUCUUUUUCUGACUCAAACAACCUGUUAGCAUGGCGAUAGCAGCCAAUGGCAGGAAGUGAUUACUAAUUAAAGAUAACUUAAAAAAAUUAUUUACUAUAAAAUACUUCAGCUAUAUUCAUACUGUAGGUGCUUGCGUCCUUAUUUCAAAAUAAAAGCAUCAUAAUAACAAGAUAAAGAUCAAAUUCCAGGCGGUUCUGACAAAGGAGUUUGAUCUAUUAGUGUAGAUGAAACUAUAAGUAUUUAUAUGUAGUUCUGCUGAAUCAGAACCAAAGUAGAACCGGACCAAGAGAGGAAGCAGAACGAUCAGAAAUCAAACCUCCAUUUCCAUUUCUUCCUCUUUCCUUCUUCCAUCAGUCAAUUCUUUUUGUUCUUCCUCUUUUUCCUCCUUUCCCUCAUCCUUUUUCUCCUCUUCUUCGUUUUUCUCCUCUUUACUUUCCUCCUCUUUUUUCUUCUCAUUUUUCUCCUCCUCUUUAUUUUUCUCCUCUUUUUUCUCCUCUUUUUUCUCCUCCUCUUCUUUAUUUUUCUCCUCUUCCUCCAUUUUCUCCUCCUCCUCUACCCUCAGCUGUGAUGAAGACGUCCCGUCCUCUUCCUCUGUCUCCCUCACACUGUUUCUCUUCGUCUCUUCUUCUUCAUGGGUUUCCUUAAUCUCUGGCGGUGAUGCGGUCUCUUUUUUGAACACCUCCUUCUCCUCUUUCUCUCCUCCAAGUGCUCCCUGCCCUUUCUCCGUGGCGUCCCCCGGACUACCACCAGUCUGGGUCUCCAGGUGUGUCUCCGCCCCUUCCUGUCCCAGUCCUGCGUCGUCCCCGCUGCUGGACUUCCUGUGACAGCGGGACGGAGGACGCCGCUUGAUGGAGCCCCGUGGUCUGGCCUGGAGACGGACCAAUCACAGGAGAGGUCAGCAGUGACGUCAUUAGUGACGUAAAAGAGGUAAAGCUCACCUGAUUCCCCGAGGUGGCGCUCGGGUCGGGAGCCUGACCUUUGAACCUUCCUGCCAGUUCAGCCACAGAGCGGCGGGGCGGAGCCUCAUUCUGCAGGUUUGUGUUUGUCAACCAGAUGGUUGAUCAAUGCAGAGCAACAGAGGACCGAGGAUGAAGCCCUGAGGUACUCCAGAACUGAGGAGCUAAAACUGCAGAGGAAAGCUACCAGACGCACGUUCGACCUGUUUUAAAGACGCAACAAGCAUAUUUAGAAAAUUAUGAGAAGUUUUGUGAUAUUUCCGCCCAGAUUUCCAUCUGUGCUGCCUGACUGAAGGUGAUAAAAGUGUCAAAUAAUCUGACGACACCUUAGAAUCCACAGCUGUAAUGUCGACGAAACCUGAUGCACACUUAGGUUUCCUGUUAGCGCCAGCUCGCUCUUCACCACCCAGUCUACCCUGCAGGUCCUGAAAACGAACGAGUCACUUUAAGGACUCUGUUCGUCUGAUUCAUGAGACGCUGCUGGGAUUUCUGGGCCAUUUCCACAAACGCCCAUCAGAACACAGCAAAGCCAGCAGCAACAGCAGCAGGAACAGAAAGUUUGAGAGCUUUACCUCCAUCCUGCUGGUCGUCUCUCUGCCGCCUCAAUAUGUCGAGUAUGUGUGAACGAAGUUGGGAGGGGCUGGGGUUAAAUAUAGAGUUGGAGUUACGUCUGGAGAGAGACCUCCACUCUCUACUGGCAGAGAGAGAGAGAGAGAGGCGGAUCAUGUUCUGUCACAUGGUGGCCAUGUUUGUGUUGAUAAACUCAUUGAUAUCUGCUGCCGGACCGAGCUGAUCUCAGCUCAGAACCAGAACAGCUGACCAAAACAAUGAUCCUUUUCAUGAAGCUUCUCACUUUUAGACAGUUUCUGUUCCAGAGAAACCAGAAAGGAUUCCAAAAGGCGAAAAGAUGUCAAAAGCACGGUAGAGGAGGAGUGGUGCAGCGGAUUACAUUUGAAUGAAUACAUUCACAUGAUGUGAUAAAGCUCUGUAUUUGUGUUUGUGUGUACAGGAAAACAGUUUUAGGAGCCAGUCUGUGAUUUUAAAAAAUGUACCAAUAUUCACACAGACUGGAUUUGACACAAAUCAAUUUUGUCUUGCUUUUUAUUAACUUUAUAUUCUAAUUCAGUCCUGGCGCCAUGUUUAAUUCCCAACAAUCCUUUGUGCUCGAUGUUAUUCUUCAAAACAAUGUGGUGGAGAGAUUUGUUUAUGAAGCUGCAGCUGCGUGUGAACAGGCCUUCAGGUUACUGGUGGUGUCCCACAGGGAGCAGUUUUAGGCCCAGAAGCCUCUUAUCGAUAUAAAAACUUUAAAAAUGGUAAAAUGCGUUUUUUAAAAUCAGUUUUAAGCAGAUGAAACAAACGCAUUUCGUUUUUGUUCAAACUUGCAUGUCUGACCAGGUUUGGAGGAAAUUAUUCUGAAUCUUUGAGGCCAGAUAUGGUCAUCUGGUGCUAACAUUCAGAUGUUCAUAUCUGUUUCAUUUUAGCGUCUGUGCGUUUAACAUCUGCGGCUUGUUCUUGGUUUGGUUGUGGCCAGUCACAAACUGGAGACGACUAAAAUAGAAACUGGUUGUUCAAGUUAAAAAGUUAACAACUCUGAGGAAAACUAAAGUUAUGAAAACUGAAACUGGCCAUCUGGGUUAGUUCAUAAUUAAAUGCAAAUGAUCAGGAAG